UUUCUCUGAAAGUGUUCCUCAAAGAAGCCAGUAUUUGAAUUGUUUGCUACUCAGCCACGAAGAGAUAAGAAGCCUGUGUCAGAAUGCAUGUGAACACGCUGCUUGCUUCCUAGAAGCCUUGCUUUGAAAAAGAAGGUCUGCCCAUCCACAUCAUUUUGGCUGAAUGCGUGACCUAUCCAAUCCUUCCUCUCAUGGAAACACCAACUCAUCCAUGCCCUCUGUGCUGAAACUUCGUCUCAGCCUGCUGGAAUCACCUGCACCCCAUGGGAACUGUAGCCAUAUCUUCAGUCCUGUGAGCCCCCGUCAUGGCCUGUCACAGGAGUAAAUGAGGAGUAAGGCCCAGAAUACUCAGUACCUCUCAAUGACCCUCAGACGCUGUAGGAAGAGGAUUGGUUCACCUUUUAACCCAGAAUUUCUCACAUUGAAUGGACAGGAUGCAUUCCAAGAGGCCAGAGUAUGUGCAUCUCAGCUCCUGAUGGUUUCCACCACCACCAUUACUUUCUCUAUGUCAAGAUACCUGGGAAGCCGGUGUUUCAUUUGCAUUCUUGGAGCCCAGGAACUGUCUUCUACAAACUUUUCUUCCUAGUACCAUGUAAACGUACACAGGAAACGUUCAGAAAACAUCAGCCAAAUAGAAGAAUAAGGAAAUUCCUUCACUGACUAGAUAUUGGUGUUUGAUUCUGUCCUGCUUUGUACUCAAUGGCUAUUUCGGGGUUUCCAUUGCGGAAAACUAUUUGGAAAAUUGCAAGCCACGAGACAAGCCUCUAAGCUACUCCAGGAUCAUUGAGGACUCUCCAUGGGUUCUUAUUGUUAAAGAUCUUAACUCCUCAAGCCACUGCAUUUUUACUAUAUGCCUUGAACUACAAGAUGUGUUAAGAUUUAUAGGAUAAGGUUCUCAUCUCUAAAAACUCAUGGUCUCGAUGGAGAAGCAGUAUUUACACACAUGGAGAAGUUGAGAGUACUUGAAUGUGGAGUAUAAAGUGUGCGAUAUUGACAAGAAGCUCUACGAAAGUUCAGGAAGAGGAGGAGCAAGUGAGGAUGGAGAUGGACUUUGCAGAAUGGAGGAGAGGCAAAGAAACGGUUAGAAACAAUCUACAUAAUGAAAAGUCACUUUUGGGAGUUGUUUUAAGGCAGAGUAUCAUAUCGCAUCAAAACCGCUCCAUAAGUCCUGCCACUCCACGUGCAAUGCCAUGAACUUGAAGAAACUGCUGGUAAGAGAAAGCAAAUGCUGUGACCAGGCAACUGCUGCAAACCAAUGGGCUUUGGGGAACUGUGCUUCCCUUCAGAAAGGAAAGAGUAUUUAACGAUGAAAAGGAAGGUAAGAAAGAGGGAUUUAUGUGCCAGAAAAUUUACAUCAUCUUUAGAUGAAGGAGGGCUUGAAGGAAACAUCCCAGCAUGUAAAAGAGAAAUGAGAAAUGAGUACUUUUUAAAAAGUAUCUAUGUUCAACAUUUCACAGGCAUUGCUAAAUCCCUUAUUUUAAAAAAUUAUUUUUUCCCUCAUAUUAGCAAUGUCACAAUAGUCUCUAUCACUGGAAUUACACUGUAUCAUGCAAGGGGGUGGCAGAGGAAAGCACAGGCAGUGAUGGAUAUACAGAUCAACAUAAUGUGAUGUGGCAUCCCUUCUCAACCGCAAAUACAAUUACCUCCAGGGUGGCAGAACAGCCAAACUGCUUCAGUAGAUUACUAGGAUAUUGCCUUGCUGCUCUAAAUCCUAAGUCUAUUUUCUGGGUUUCUAUAUAUUUGUGGGGAAAUGAAUUUCCAGUUAAAUCUUUGUUAUUAUCUCCCUAGAGCCAAAAAUUGUGGGUGGGGCAAAGACUUAUAUUCAAAACAAAUUUUAUUCCUUGACGCUAUCACUAUCUUUCUUCCAAGGCCUCUUUGUCCAAGUACAAUUCAUUAACCACCAUUUAUGGAAUACCGCCAAUGCAUCAGUCACUGUGCUAGACAUUAGGGAUAGAGACAAACAACACACUCCAUGCCCUCCAGGAGCCCAUGUUUAGUAGAGAAGAAGGACAACUGAACAAAUAGUCACUACAUAAAAGUUCACUGGUCAAGGUUUAUACAAAGUAUGAUGAGC
rnacentral:lncRNA from 1 species